GGCCAAAGCGGCUGCCUUACCAUGCAGUCGAACGGUAACAGGGAGCUUGCUCCGCUGACGAGUGGCGAACGGGUGAGUAAUACAUCGGAACGUGCCCAGUAAUGGGGGAUAGCUCGGCGAAAGCCGGAUUAAUACCGCAUACGCCCUGAGGGGGAAAGUGGGGGACCGCAAGGCCUCACGUUAUUGGAGCGGCCGAUGGCUGAUUAGCUAGUUGGUAGGGUAAAGGCCUACCAAGGCGACGAUCAGUAGCUGGUCUGAGAGGACGAUCAGCCACACUGGGACUGAGACACGGCCCAGACUCCUACGGGAGGCAGCAGUGGGGAAUUUUGGACAAUGGGGGAAACCCUGAUCCAGCAAUGCCGCGUGUGCGAAGAAGGCCUUCGGGUUGUAAAGCACUUUUGUCAGGGAAGAAAUCCUUUGGGCUAAUACCCUAGGGGGAUGACGGUACCUGAAGAAUAAGCACCGGCUAACUACGUGCCAGCAGCCGCGGUAAUACGUAGGGUGCAAGCGUUAAUCGGAAUUACUGGGCGUAAAGCGUGCGCAGGCGGUUGUGUAAGACAGGUGUGAAAUCCCCGGGCUUAACCUGGGAAUUGCAUUUGUGACUGCACGA
rnacentral:rRNA from 1 species